GUCCCUGUGUCUCCCCGGCCAGCCCAGUGUGGCCACAAGUGUUUGUUGUUUCUCUCUCUCUCUCUCUCCCCUACCUGUCUGCCUGGGCGGAGCUCUGACUGGGCUCCCGCCCUUGGCCCACGCACCUGCAGCUGAUCUCGAGUGAUUUGCAGUGGAUCUCUGGCUCUUCUUAAGGCUGGGGCUCUGAGCUAUUCGUCGCUGGAAUAUUGAGUAACCUCGGAAUCCCUUUCCCUUGGUGCCCUGGGUGUGCUUAGUUGCUGGUGUGCGGUGUUUCUGGAUUCCCUCGUGUGUGAAGAGCCCCUUUCCCGGAUUCCCCUGUGCCCUGGAUCCCCCUUGCCCUCUCACCUGUAUAUAGUCGCACCUGGUGUCGUGUAUCAAUAAAAGGAACUGUAUUUUAGCUGCCUCGUCUGCGCUUGAGUCCGUCCACCAGCGUGACAGUUACAUUUAACUUGCUUUUUAAUAACUAAAAAAUCACUCGGUGCAAGAUGCCAUGUACUGUAGUUUAUCUAAGGUUGUAUUUUAUUUAUUUUAAAAUCUGGUAAGAACCAGAUAAUUGUGAUUUUUUUUUCAUGUAGAACCUUAAAAUUAAAAAGGGUAUACUUCCCUUUGAUAGUAUAAACAAAAAUUUUGGUUGCAUCCAACUUUUUCCUUAAACCAGUGUUUCCCAACCUUUUGGAGCAACGGCACAUAUUUCACAUUAUGAAAAUCACACGGCACACCACCAAACAAAAAUGUCACAGAAAGCAUAUUGAUAUUUUUUCCCCGCGCACUAGAUAUAGGAGAACUGGCUCAUCUGGAUCGGAAUUUUUUUCAGGAUCCAGGUCAGAUUGACUACUUUUUCUUUUCAAAUAUUUAUCUAUUGCUAUUAUGUGCUGCGUUGUCUCACUCACGGCAUGACUAUUAUGUCAUUUAUUCUUCGUCUUCUACUAUUUUACUGUCAGUUGGCAACCAAUUUAAUUACAGCAGACAGUUGUAUUGCCCUCUAUUUGAAGAGAAUGUAAUUGUUCUGCCCGUUACUCAGGUGGAACCAGAUCAUCAUCCACGGCACACCUGAUCAUUUCUCACAGCAAACCCAUGUGCCGUGGCACAGUGGUUGGGAAACACUGCCUUAAACCCAUCAUAACUGAACUUAUUUUAAGUAUAAAUUACACUUA